AUUGAACGCUGGCGGCAGGCUUAACACAUGCAAAGUCGAACGGUAACGCGAUGUGCUUGCACAUCGCUGAACGAGUGGCGGACGGGUGAGUAAUGCUUGGGAACCUUGCCCUUUGCGAGGGGGAUAACAGUUGGAAAACGACUGCUAAUACCGCAUAAUGUCUUCGGACCAAAACGGGGCUUCGGCUCCGGACGCAGAGAGAGGCCCAAGUGAGAUUAGCUAGUUGGUGAGGUAAAGGCUCACCAAGGCGACGAAUCUACUAGCCUGUUCUGAGAGGAAGAUCAGCCACACU
rnacentral:rRNA from 1 species